rnacentral:lncRNA from 1 species
UCCACCCCAAUGCCAAAGACCUGAUAGAGAUCAGAUCUAAGAGAGAAAAAGAGAGAGAAAAAGAGAAAAAAAGAUUCUUCUUCCUUUCUUGAUGAUCUGGUUCAUAUCCCGUCGAAUCUACAUGAAGGAGUUCGCACAGCGAUCAUUUUCUUCGAGAUCUAGAAGAAGAGAUUUAGAUCCAAAAUUGAAGAGUGAGAUUUGUAAGGUGCUAGUACACUGAUGAUCUCAGUGCUUCGAUUAGGUAUCU